rnacentral:rRNA from 1 species
UACGGAGGGUGCGAGCGUUGCUCGGAAUCACUGGGCGUAAAGCGUACGCAGGCGGACCGCUAAGUCGGGUGUGAAAGCCCGGGGCUCAACCCCGGAAUUGCAUUCGAAACUGACGGUCUUGAGUACGGGAGAGGGAGGUGGAAUUCCUGGUGUAGAGGUGAAAUUCGUAGAUAUCAGGAGGAACACCGGUGGCGAAAGCGGCCUCCUGGCCCGAUACUGACGCUCAUGUACGAGAGCGUGGGGAGCAAAC